AAGACUCUACCUGGGAGUACCAGUACUUGGACGGAUUAAAGGGACUGUUUAGAAAAAAAUAAUGAAAUUGCUGCUAAUAUCCUUGUUUAUAUGCUUCCACCACUAUUAUGGUUGGGAGAAUAGGUUUUUACAGCUAGGGGAGACAAUAGCAGGAUCCUUUAACCUCAGUAACUAUUGGGUAUGUGGAGGCCCAGGGGAAUUAGAUGAAUGGCCUUGGGUAGCCCAGCCCGUGCAAGCUAAAUGGUGGAUUAGUAAUUUAAGUAUAGUCCACAAAGGAACGAAGUUUGGACUGAGGAUAGUAGCCCUUGGCGACUCUACUCCUCUGAAGUAGGGAUCCUUUGUCUCAACCGAACAAAACCAGAAGGGGUGUAUGUGGGCAAAAGCCAAAGUGACUGGACUCUAUCUCUAGGACUUGACUGCUAUGAUCACCCUAGUUGCCAUACGUAUGACUGUUCUAAAUAUCAAGGACGGUGGAACCAUACCCACGUAAAACUCACUAAUCAUAGCUGGGUACCAUGUUCCUACCAACAGCAUACUGGCGAAGGCUGUAAGGCAGUUGGACAAGAUGGGUUCUUUGAUGCCCUCUUUCUAAGUUGCCAGCGAGAUAAUACCGACAGUAAGGAUCACGUGGUACGCUGGUAUCAGUGGGCAUGGCAACACUCUAAUGGAACUCGGGUAACCCAUUUUAAUCAUUUUUGGUCUACUACCAAUAGUCCUAAAUUUGGUUGUAAUUGUGCUUGGAGGGAAGGGGCUGGGGCUUGGAAAUGUGACUAUUGUAAUCCUGACGGUACAUCUAUUGUAUUAGGGGGACCCCUGGAGAUGGGUAACUCUUUGUAUUACGAAGAACCGGGCCCCGAGGACUAUCCCGAAACCUGGGAUGGCCCUUUUGCGAAUGAACAAUGGGCCCUAAAAGGCCAUUACUGGAUAUGUGGGCAAUAUGCUUAUCGAAGAUUGCCUCCAAAUUGGUCAGGAAUUUGUUAUGUUGGGUACAUUAGGCCCUUAUUCUUUCUACGACCCCAAAU
rnacentral:lncRNA from 1 species